UAUAUAUAUAUCACUGGUUUAGCUUCUCUAGAGAAACCAGCCUAAGAUACCAAUUAAAAGACAAACACUGGCAGAAUGAAUAAAAAAAUCAUUCAAUUGCUAUCAAGCUGAUCUGACUCAUGGUGACCCCUCGCCCCAUGUGUGUCAGAGUAGUAGUGACACACAAGUGUGUCAGUUCAACGGCUAAUUUUUCAAAAGUAGAUCGCCAAGCCUUUCCUCCGAAGUGCCUGUGGGUGGACUCAAACCUUCAACAUUUUGGUUAGCAGCUGAAUGCAUUAACCGUUUGCACCUCCCAAGGACUCUAUGUUUAUUUCUGUAUUACUUGUCUUUAUACUAUAUACAUACAUAUACACAUACACACACACAUAGACAUCCAUGAGUGGUUCAUACAGAUGCUUUGGACUUCGACUAGCAGGGCUCUAUUAAUUAUUGAUAGAAAAGUACUGAUACCAAUUACAAAUGCGUAUUUGUCCAUUUCCCCUUUCAGAUUUAUUAGUUUUUGUAUUUUGGAGCCCUGUUGUUAAAUAUGUACUCAUUUAGGAUGGUUGUAUCUUUUUGGAGAAAUGAACCUUUAUUAUGUUAUGUCCCUACCUAUUCCCAAUAAUACUCCUUUUUCUGAAGUAUAAUUUGUCUGAUAUUAAUAUAGUACUGCAGUAGAACUGGAUAAUUUUCAACCAUUUCAAGAGGUAGCAUAAGAUCAAGAACUGAUGGUAUAAAAGGAAGAAAUCGAAGCUGCAUUGAAGGCAUUGGUGAAAAAACUAUCCUCUCUCCACCAUCUUCACUAACCCUGACACCAACUGUCCCUCACACAGCACUCCCUACUUCUCUGCUGGGUUCAAUAAUUCAUUGCAACGGCCACACAGAGCUCACAGUCCAUAUUCAUGAUUAUGGGGUUUAUUGGGGAAGUAACAGUUACAACUCAGGCUCAAAGACACUCAGAAUACAGUUCUUCUAUCAGGACAGCCUCUUCCCUCCUGUGCUCAUAGGCGUGCCUCUGCCUGGCCUUGGGCCUCUCUCCAAAGGCACUCAGCUUUCCUUCUCCCUGGGCCAUCAUCUCCUAUAGCCGGGUCCCUGUUGCUUGGUCUCUCCUGCCAUGGCAUCUUACCGUCUUCAGGGUUACAGCUUCCUCUCUCUAUCUCAGUCUCCUGCUUCUAGGAUCUUCUCAGUGCAGGGAUCUCAGGUCCACAAUAUAUGCUCAGCUCCUGGCUGUUCUUCCUUGAUGGGAGUUGAAUCCUCCUGUUUGCUGUGGAACUGGUGCUCUUUGAAGGGAAAACUAAACAAUCCCCUUGGUGAGCCACAACUACCCUAUCACACAAGUCCUGCCCAAGCACCAGGGUGGAUGUUAUAAGACUAUGGCUAGAAAGGCCACACAAAAUAAACAAUCACAUCACAGUACCUUGGACUCAUUUUUCAAGUGAAGUAUCAAAAAUCCCAUACGAACAAAUUGGUAAAGAACAUAAUCAACAGCAAGAACAUUUUCAUACUUAUGUUUUCCGUAUUUGGAAGAAAUCUAUAGCACUAUUCUUAUUUUGCCAAUUCACAGGGAUCACAGAGAUUAGUGGUAGAUAUUGCAGUACCAGAAAACUCUCUGGUGAAACAGUCUGUGAGCAGUCUUACAAACAUGGAUAUUCCACCAGAGUCAAAAGAAUGACAUUACAUUAGUCAUCAAAGAGAACAUUUCAAGAUCUAGCCUGAAGUACAAUGUUGUCACUGAUAGGCUAAUAUCUAUACACUUACAAGGAAGACUAGUUUAUAUGACUAUUCAAAUUUAUGCACCAACCACUAAUGCCAAAGAUAAAGAAAUUGAAGAUUUUAAACAACGUCUGCAGCCUGAAAUUGAUCAAAUAUGCAAUCAAGAUGUAUUGAUAAUUACUGGUCUUUAGAAUGUUAAAGUUGGAAACAAAGAAGGAAAAGUAGUUGGAAAAUACAGCAUUGGUGAUAGAAAUGAUGCCAGAAAUCUCAUGAAAGAAUUUUGCAAGACCAGUGACUCAUCCACUGCAAAUAUUUUUUUUCACCAACAUAAACGGCAGCUAUACACGUGGACUUUACCAGAUGGAAUACACAGGAAUCAAACUGACUACAUCUGUGGAAAGAGAAGAUGGGAAAACUCAUAUCAUCAGUCAGAACAAGGCCAGGGAUCGAUUGUGAAACAGACUGUCAAUUGCUCAUAUGGGAGUUCAAGUUGAAACUGAAGAAAAGUAGAAUAAGUCAAAAAGGGCCAAAGUAUGACCUUGAGUACAUCUCACCUGUAUUUAGAGACCACCUCGAGAAUACAUUUUACGUGUUAAACUUAACAACUGAAGACCAGGUGAGUUGUGGAAUGACAUCAAGGACAUCACACAUGAAGAAAGCAAGAGGUCCUUUAAAAGACAGGAAAGAAAGAAAAGACCAAAACGGAUGUCAGAAGAGACUCUGAACCUUGCUCUUGAAUGUCGGGUAGCUAAAGUGAAAGGAAGAAAUGACGAAGUAAUAGAGCUGAACAGAAGAUUUCAAAGGGUGGCUUGAGAAGAAAAAGUAUUAUAAUGACAUGUGUAAAGAUCUGGAGAUGGAUAACCAAAACGGAAGAACACUCAGCAUUUCUCAAGCUGAAAGAACUGAAGAAAAAACUCAACCCUUGAGUUGCAAUACUGAAGGAUUCUAAGGGUAUAAUAUUAAAUGACGCAGGAAGCAUCAAAAGAAGAUGAAAGUAAUACCCACAGUCACUAUACCAAAAAGGAUUGGUCGACCUUCAACCAUUUCAGGAAGUAGCAUAUGAUCAGAAACCGAUGAUACUGAAGGAAGAAGUUCAUGCUGCCCUGAAGGAAUUGGUGAGAAAAAAAAGCCUCCGAGAAUUGACGGAAUACCAACUGAGAUGUUUCACCAAAUGGAUGCAGCACUGGAAUCGCUCACUUGUCUAAUCCCAAGAAAUAUGGCCUACGAACUGGCAAGGAUCCAUAUUUACGCCUAUUCCUAAGAAAGGUGAUCCAACCAAAUGUGGAAAUUAUCAAACAAUAUCAUUAAUAUCACAUGCAAGUAAUAUUCUGCUAAAAAUCAUUCAAAAGCAGCUGUAGCAGUACAUUGACAGGGAACUGCCAGAAAUUUAAGCAGGAUUCAGAAGAGGACAUGGAAGAAGGGAUAUCACAGCUGAUGUCAUAUCUAUUCUGGCUGAAAGCAGAGAAUACCAGAAAGAUGUUUACCUGUGUAUUAUUGACUAUGCAAAGGCAUUUGACUGCUUGGGUCAUAACAAAUUAUGGAUAACAUUGCGAAGAGUGGGAAUCCCAGAACACUCAAUUGUGCUGAUGAGGAACCUGAUCAAGAGGUAGACGUUCAAACAGAAAAAGGUGAUACUGCGUGGUUUAAAGUCAGGAAAGGUGUGUGUCAGGGUUGUAUCCUUUCACAAUACUUAUUUAAUCUGCAAAUAAUCUGAGAAGCUGGACUAUACGAAGAACACCUCAGGAUUGGAGGAAGACUCAUUAACAACCUGCAUUUUGCAGAUGACUCAACCCCGCUUGCUAAAAGAUAAGAGGUCUUGAAGCACUUACUGAUGAAGAUCAAAGACCGCGGCCUUCAGUAGAGAUUGCACCUCAACAUGAAGAAAACAAAAAUCCUCACAACUGGGCCAAUGAGCAACAUCGUGAUCAACGGAGAAAAGAUUGAAGUUGUCAAGGAUUUCAUUUUAUUUGGAUCCACAAUCAACACCCAUGGACACAGCAGUUAAGAAAUCAAAAGAUGCAUUGCAUUAGGGAAACUGGCUGCAAAAGACCUCUAAAGUGUUGAAAAGCAAAGACAUCACCUUGAAAACUAAGAUGCAACUGAUCCAAGCCACAGUGUUUUCAGUGGCCUCGUAUGUGUGGGAAAGCUGGCUGAUGAAUAAGGAAGACUGUAGAAGAACUGAUGCCUUUUAAUUGUCGUGUUGGUGAAGAAUUCUGAAUACACCAUGAAUUGCCAAAAGAAUGAAAAAAUCUAUCUUGAAAGAAGUAUAACCAGAACGUACACUAGCCUAGAAGCAAAGAAGGCUAGACUACAUCCUACAUACUUUGGACCUGUUUUCAGGAGGAAUUAGUCCAUGGAGAAGGAUAUCAUGUACUAUUUCUUUGGACUAUCUAAGACCUGAAGAACAAAAUCUCAUGGUCCAAAUUAACGUUUUUACUUACUAAUUUUCAAAUGUAGCCCUGGUGGAAGAGUGGUUAAGAGCUUGGCUGAAACUAAAAGGUUUCAACCAGCCUCUCCUUAGAAGCCCUGCUGUGCAGUUCUAUUCUGUCCAAUAGGGUCACUGUUAGUUAAAAUUUAAUCCACAGCAAUGAGUUAUUUAAUUUUCAAAUACAAAUUUGUUGUGUUAAUGUCUAAAUUCUAAAUUAAAUUUUAUUUUAUAAACUACCUGUUUUAUAAAUUUACUUUCUAUUAUUCAAAUUUAUUGUAAUGGUAGAAUCAAAUUUAAAAAGUGACAUAAUUUUAUAUCCAGGCAAAAUGAAAUGGCAAUAACUAAGUGGAGUGCAAAAAUGGAAGCCUGCAGGAGAUAAAAAGAAAAUGAUUUGUGAAUCCCUAAAGACAAUCCCCAAAUUCCUUUUUAGAAUGUAAUAAAUCAGAAGAGACUUCUUCCAUUAAAGAAGCAUUAGAAGAAACAAGUAAAUGACAGAAAUGCUCCAGAAGUAUUGAGUGCCAGGAAUCAAUUUUACAUAACCACCAUCACUGACACACUUGAAUCUUGCAUGAAAUGAAGGGUAAGGAUGUAUGAAGUUCCUUCUGAUAUUUUUUUCCUUCUUAAUGUGAAUAUAACUGAUGAAGAAUUCCUGAAGGUAUCCAAUAAAUUAGCACAGGCUUAUCCUGAUGAGGAAACCCUGGUGGCAUAGUGGGUAAGUGCUACGACUGCUAACCGAGAGAACGGUAGUUCAAAUCCACCAGGCGCUCCUUGGAAACUCUAUUGGGCAGUUCUACUCUGUCCUAUAGGGUCAGGAUGAGUCAGAAUCGACUCGACGGCAGUGGGUUUGGAUUUAUCCUGAUGACUUAAGACAAACCUUUACGGAGAAGUGCUACAAUAUCAUUCUUACGUUAGAAUUAAGUUCAGAGAUUCAAGUCAAAUUUUACUCAUGUAGGCAUGUAAAUCAAAAAACCAAACCCAUUGCUGGUGAAUUGAUUUCAACACACAGCAACGCUAUAGGACAGAGUAGAAUUGCCCCCAUAGGGUUUCCAUGGAGCAGCUAAUGUAUUCGAACUGCCAAGCUUUUGGUUAGCAGCUGAGUUCUUAACCACUGCACCACCAGUGCUCCAAAUAUACUCUGGCCCAGUAGUUCAAAUGCAACAGCCGCUCCUUGAAAACCCUAUGAGGCAGUUCUACUCUGACCUAUAGGGUCAUUAUGCAUCAGAAUUGACUCCAACCCAACGGGUUUGUUCUGCCUACUGCCUCAUCCCUAUUUCAUUUUCUCAGAGAUAAGUUUCUCUGAUAGUGUCAGAUUCAGGAAUGUGAUGAAAAAUGUCUCUUGUAGGGGGUGGGGCCAAGAUGGCAGAGUAGUCAGAUGCUUUAUGUAGCCCCUCUUAUAACAAAGACCCAGAGAAGUAAGUCGAUUAUAUAUGACAAUCUAGGAGCCCUGAACAUCAAAGGUGAAGUUACAGAAUUGGACUUAGUGGCGGGGGAGGGGAAUAUGGUUCAGAAGCAGUGAGAGUUUGACAGACCGGACCCGGCAGAAACCAGCACCCUGCAGGCUGGAUCGGAUGGCAUGUGCGGUGACGCAAGCAGUGAUGCUCGGGACAUGUUUUCCACAUCUGAAGAGACCGAGUGGUGGAAAGCCUACACAAGCCUCCAUAAGCAGUGAAAAGCAGUGCUAAGUUGGCAAAAGAUAAGUACAUGCAUUUAAAAUGCCACACAAAUCAAAAAUCAUCCCCUUUGGGAAGAACAUCUCUCCCAUUUACCUGCUUCCUCCCUCUCUGUUUUCAGUCUUGGACCAGCUUUGGCUAUUUCUGGGUCCCCUGGGCCAGAAGUAGGAACUAUCACAUGCCCUGGAGCAGGAACAAACAACAAAAAAUAAUCUGCCAGCUUCCCUAAGCCAGGAACUUAGGGAAGGCACAGACAUAAGGGGUCCAAGGACUUUGAAUGCCUUUCACCCUUGCAUAGAUCUGUGUGGGCCCAUUUCAACAGCAUAGGCUCUCAUUAGCACACUACGACAGGGUAUAUACCUGAAGCCUAUUUUCAACUGUAUCAGCUAUAAGUAGAGGGGCAGAUUUCUGAUAUUUGACAAAGUUCUGCCAAUUAAGCAGGGUCCUCACCUACCCACAUCAGUGACCUGAGGGUUGGUGGCUCCACCCAUGCCACCUAGCACCCAAUUCAGGAGUCCAAGAGUAAGUGGUGAAUCCCAGUCCUUACAACCAACAGCAUUGGGUGACCAUGGUCUGGCUGCAAAACCCACCCACCUAUGUGCUCUAGGGAACAGGGACAUGCUUUCCUCCCAGACACUCAGGGGCAGUCAUCCCCCCCACAGUAGCCAGACACCUGUACCUACACCAAUCAACCCUGUCUAUGUAGGACUGUAGGUAAGAGCCUACACCACACACUUGGUGACCGACUACCUGGACACCUGAGCUGAAUCCAUACAAGAAUGUAAAAGGGCUCCUAGGCUCACAUACCUAGUAACAGCUCUGAUCACCUGGUGACAGGACGUAAGAGCUUCAAAAGGUGCCAAUAAUCAAACUAGCUUACCCAAGCAGCCUAUUUGGGCAUAUCAAAAUAAAACAAGAAGCUAGGACACAGUACACCAAAAAAAAAAAAAAAAACCCAGUGCCAUCAAGUAGAUUCCGACUCAGCAAGCAAACAUAAAAUAAAUGAAUAUAAUAACUCACUAAUGGCUCAGAGACAAGUGUAAAUAUCAAAUAACAUAAAGAGGCACACCAUGAUGGAUUCAGGAAGCUCCCAAAACAACAAAUCAAGAAAUCUUCCAAAUGAAGAGAAAUUCCAGGAAUUGCCGGAGGUAGAAUUUAAAAGAUUAAGAGACCGAGCUCUUCAAGAGAUCCAGGAGGAGAUCAGGCAAAACGAAGAACAAGCCAAGGAACACACAGAUAAAACAAAAGAGGAACUUAAGAAGGUUAUACAAGAGUAUAAUGACAAAUGUAACAGGCUGCAAGAAUCCAUAGAAAGAUAGCAAGCAAAUCCAAAAGAGUAACAAUAAAAUUUCAGAAUUAGACAACUCAAUAGAAAACAAGAGGAGCAGAAUUGAGGCAUUGGAAGUCAGAAUUAGUGAGACUGAAGAUAAAGCAAUUGACGCCAAGUUAUUUGAGGAAAAAUCAGAUAAAAUAAUUUUUUAAAAUUGAAGAAACUCUAAGAAUUAUGCAGGACUCUAUCAAGAGUGAUUGGAACACCAGAAUCGGGGUGGGGGUUGGAGGAUAACAGAAAACACAGUGAGAAUUGUUCAAGACUUCUUGGCUAAAAACUUCACUGAUCUUGUGAAAGAUAAGAAGAUAUGUAUCCAAGAUGCUUACUGAACCCCACACAAGGUAGAUGCCAAGAUAAAGUCACCAGGACAUAUUAUAAUCUUGCUUGUCAAAACCAAAUAUAAAGAGAGAAUUUUAAGAGUAGCUAGGGAUAAACAAAAAGUCACCUAUAAAGAAGGGUCAGUAAGACUAAGCUUGGACUACUCAGCAGAAACCAUGCAGGCAAGAAGGACAUAUACAAAGCCCUGAAGGAAAAAAAAAAAUUGCCUGCCAAGAAUUAUAUAUCCAGCAAAACUGUCUCUCAAAUAUGAUGGUGAAAUUAGGA